GAUGAACGCUAGCGGCGUGCCUAAUACAUGCAAGUCGAGCGAACAGACGAGGAGCUUGCUCCUCUGACGUUAGCGGCGGACGGGUGAGUAACACGUGGAUAACCUACCUAUAAGACUGGGAUAACUUCGGGAAACCGGAGCUAAUACCGGAUAAUAUAUUGAACCGCAUGGUUCAAUAGUGAAAGACGGUUUUGCUGUCACUUAUAGAUGGAUCCGCGCCGCAUUAGCUAGUUGGUAAGGUAACGGCUUACCAAGGCAACGAUGCGUAGCCGACCUGAGAGGGUGAUCGGCCACACUGGAACUGAGACACGGUCCAGACUCCUACGGGAGGCAGUAGUAGGGAAUCUUCCGCAAUGGGCGAAAGCCUGACGGAGCAACGCCGCGUGAGUGAUGAAGGUCUUCGGAUCGUAAAACUCUGUUAUUAGGGAAGAACAAAUGUGUAAGUAACUAUGCACGUCUUGACGGUACCUAAUCAGAAAGCCACGGCUAACUACGUGCCAGCCGCCGCGGUAA
rnacentral:rRNA from 1 species